CGGAGGGAGGAACUCAUGCGAAAUUAAAUAAACGCGAAUUACUUCAUGCCGCGAAGGAGGAUGAAAGAGACAGUCGAUAAUCAGUGAUCGAUACAGGCGUCAUGAUGUAAAAUCUGCAAACGUUCCGAUACUUUUUGGACCUGCGAAUCCUUUUUCGGCGAUACCCUCAAAAUUGCGAGAUAAGAUUGUCCGAUUAUGAAUCGCGAACUCAAUAACACUGUAAUGUGCAACUGCAACGACACCGGCCCGGUCACGGAGGAGUAUCAUACCGCCCCCUCGGAUUUCGCAGCAUCGAUGCCGCAAGAAUGGCGCACGUCUACGCGAUACGAGGCGGCGGACACUACGCCGGAAUUUCCCUCGACGCCGCCACAAAGGAUACGACGAGGAGACUAUCGACGUCCGCAAGACGCCCCCGUAAGACCCAUGCCGCGCAGGCGAAAUCUCACAGGUGUGGCCAUUGUUCCGCGACGAAUCGACUUUGACGCCGUAACGGACACCGAAGAUGACGAGGAAGACGUGGGGUACUCGACGACGGAAACGGUGCAACGAAUUAGCAGCGUGACGGAGCACUCUUACAUCCCCGAGACGAGUACCGUUCCCGGGACGUACAGACUGAGACGCACACGACCGCCGCAACAUCCGCAGGUGUUGAGACAAUACACGCCGAGAAUGACGAGGAUCACUCCUUGUGGGAAAUGCCUGAGAAUAUGAGGGCACGUCAUCGAAGACACAUCCACGUGGCGCGACAUUUAAUCAGGACCGGCUAAGGACGGCUUACUUGGCUCGCUCGUCGAAAUUCACGAGCGCGAAUCAUUCUUACGUGAGCUGCACGGGGCGGCGGCGGCGGCGGGCCGAAGCGAAGCGAAGGUAGGUGAACGGUUACCCGAUGUUUGUAUGGCUGUACUCCCAGCGCGGAUCCCGGAACCCCAAAGAUAUCGUAGAAGUACUGCGCAAACACUCCGGCUGACUGUUUCUCAAUCAGAGUCGCGUAUACGGAAGGCGACGGCCGCAGCGGCGCGCGCUCGGUGCGCGCCUGUUUUCACGGUCAUUCCAUUUCCCAAGUGCGCAAUUUGUCAUCGUGUAAAGCGCGCGCGAGCUCUUAAAUCCACCCAAUUCGAAAGAUACGACUUCGUGUUCGCGUCGCGCGUCGUAAUGCGAUCGACAUGUUUCCCGGCGUAAUCGCGGAAAUUCGUCAGUGGUCAAGUGGUCAGAAUCUACACGCGAUAAUCGACGAUAUAUUCCGGUGAGACUGAACUCGACAUCGAAUCCUUGGAAUAAAAUUCACUGGAAACAAGUCAAACUGUGCUGUCUCUCUUUGAGACUUGCGUCAACGCAACGUCCAUACACUGCAUCCCGCGCAGUCGAGUGACUACUUAGUACGAAUCCUCAUUAAGCAAGGACGAAAACAGGGACACGUCCCUGCAUCUCCGCGCGUUACCGUCUCCGACCGAGGACGGUCUCGAUCGACACGACGAGUCCUCCUCCUCCUCCUCCUCCUCCUCCUCCGAAGGAGGCGUCACGUAUUUUCACGUAUUUCGCCUCAGAGUCACCUUUGCACCAUUGCCACACGUCGCACGGAGAAUGGGCGGCGAGACGACGGCGCGUGCACGGACAAAACGGGCACGCGAAGACG
rnacentral:misc_RNA from 1 species